AGACAGAUCUACAAACUUGGGAAGAUAAUUUUAGAGCAUCAAUUCUUGAUGACAGGUUGACUUACAAAAUUAUUGAUGAACUCGAAGCAUGGAAAGAACGUCACCAAGAAAUUUUUUAUAUUGAGUUGAAAAAAAAAGAAAAAAGAUAUUUGAAUAGAUUAAGUGAAGAGUGGAAGGAACCAAAAGAAGUAUUAGAUACAUUACAUUCUUUAUCUGUUUUUCAAG